GGAUCGCGGCGACGCUGGCGGUUCGCCGCUGGUGUUGUCGUGAGAAGUUCAUUAAACCUUAUCAUUUAGAGGAAGGAGAAGUCGUAACAAGGUUUCCGUAGGUGAACCUGCGGAAGGAUCAUUG
rnacentral:rRNA from 1 species